UUACAUUUGAUGGACCAACAACAGUAAAAUUAUCUGUACUUUAAAUUAAUCACUGCUGACAUUAUACGUGACAGGGUGUCUUUUAUUUUGAAAGGAGGUUCUAUCAAAAGUAAAAAAAAUGCUAUUUUCUUUUAAAGUUUGUGUUUUAUUCAUGAAAAAUGAACAACAGUUAAUUUGUGUUUAUCAUAAUUGUAACAAUAGCAUCAAUACAAAUCAGAGUUGUUUUUUUUUAAAGGUUGAAGGAAGAUUGUGUGGCUCCUACUGGGUUGUAGUCUGUUAGAAGUGAACUCAAAUGGCUUUUACAGAGUUGAAGGUUGUAGACCUCUGCUCUAAGUUUAUGAUUCUUGCAAGAAUACAAAAAGUUCAGAUGAAGCAGAGUCAGUACAGGAAGCAGCAAAAAAGGAUUCAAAUCAGAGAGAUGAAACCACACAGCAGCUUCAGCUGAGCUGUCAGUCUGCAGCAGCAGUCUUCUCUGUGAGCUGCAGGGGCUGAUGGGAGCUUGGAAGAAGAGUUACAGAGCCUCGACUGAUCCAGCAUGGAUAUCAUUGGCAUGGGACUGCCACAGUGAGACCUUAGCUUGGGCCCCCUUGUGGCUACACUGGGUCUGAAAAAUAUUGGACAACUGCAUGAUGCAGUGAUAAAUGAACAUCGUAAAACAUCUUUUUUACCUUGUUAUAUAGCCUGGUUUAUCCCUACUAAUUGAAAUAUUUUUGGGUGAACUCACUGACACAUUUUUCCUUUUUUUACAAAACAAAGAACAGCUCCUUAAACACAGACACCAAUCCAAACAGCUGAGAACUACAUAAAAGGAUCGACUCUCAUAAAAUAUCAAACCUCAAAUCAAAUAAAGAAAACAAGUCAAAGAACCACGCUCCAAAUCAUGGCAUGACCAGACAGGUUUAUUAUGUCACUUAAAUUUUACAAGUUUACUGUUCAUUUCUGACAGUUAAUUUAAAACAUUUAAUCCAGCAAUUUAUUCUCACAGCAUCCUGUCAGUCAGAGAUAUAAAAAAAAUAAUCCUUGUUCAGAAGCUCAUGCUCUCAUUCUUCUGCAGUUCAAAUAUACAUAAAAGAAAAA